GAUGAACGCUGGCGGCGUGCCUAAUACAUGCAAGUCGAGCGAACAGACGAGGAGCUUGCUCCUCUGACGUUAGCGGCGGACGGGUGAGUAACACGUGGAUAACCUACCUAUAAGACUGGGAUAACUUCGUGAAACCGGAGCUAAUACCGGAUAAUAUAUUGAACCGCAUGGUUCAAUAGUGAAAGACGGUUUUGCUGUCACUUAUAGAUGGAUCCGCGCCGCAUUAUCUAGUUGGUAAGGUAACGGCUUACCAAGGCAACGAUGCUUAGCCGACCUGAUAGGGUGAUCGGCCACCCUGGAACUGAGAAACGGUCCAGACUCCUACGGGAGGCAGCAGUAGGAAAUCUUCCGCAAUGGGCGAACGCCUGACGGAGCAACGCCGCGUGAGUGAUGAAGGUCUUCGGAUCGUAAAACUCUGUUAUUAGGGAAAAAAAAAUGUGUAAGUAACUAUGCACGUCUUGACGGUACCUAAGCAGAAAGCCACGCCUAACUACGU
rnacentral:rRNA from 1 species